CCUACGGGGGGCAGCAGUGGGGAAUAUUGGACAAUGGGCGAAAGCCUGAUCCAGCCAUGCCGCGUGUGUGAAGAAGGCCUUCGGGUUGUAAAGCACUUUCAGUGGGGAAGAAAGCCUUGGGGCUAAUACCCUCGAGGAAGGACAUCACCUACAGAAGAAGCACCGGCUAACUCCGUGCCAGCAGCCGCGGUAAUACGGAGGGUGCGAGCGUUAAUCGGAAUUACUGGGCGUAAAGCGCGCGUAGGCGGUCUGAUAAGCCGGUUGUGAAAGCCCCGGGCUCAACCUGGGAACGGCAUCCGGAACUGUCAGGCUAGAGUGCAGGAGAGGAAGGUAGAAUUCCCGGUGUAGCGGUGAAAUGCGUAGAGAUCGGGAGGAAUACCAGUGGCGAAGGCGGCCUUCUGGACUGACACUGACGCUGAGGUGCGAAAGCGUGGGUAGCAAACAGGAUUAGAUACCCGGGUAGUC
rnacentral:rRNA from 1 species